UUAUGGGGCAUUAAAGUAAUGGCCCUACCACAUAGAAAGUGAGAAGAGUUGCAGAGUAGGUGAAAAGGAUAUUGUAUAGACUUGAGAGACAAAGAUAUGGGCUAUAGGCUAGUUCAUAUGGGGAUACAUGAGAUGGCCAAAACCUCUAUGUAAUCUUUCACCUCCUUUACAUGUUCCCCUGCAAGUAAUAAGUGCCAUGUCAUUAUUUUGUUUCUUUUAUGGAGAAAGUUAGGGAGAAAUCUCACUAUGUUAGGAAGCUUAUAGGUGCUUAUUGGAGUGUUCUUGCAAGGCUUUUUUAGCCACCUAGGGACGGGCGCUAUAGAAAGCUUGUUUGACAAGUUCAGCGGCAAGGGGUAGAUAGAUGCACAGGUGUGCCACCAGUAUUUGAGUAACCGGAAAGAGGAUAACUGAAAGGAUGAUGAUUUGAAUACUGUGAAUCCAGGUUAUUUGACCUUCAAGAACUUUCGCUACUGUCACAUCGUCUGUUCGUAGGUAGAUGGAUAGGAUUGGAUAGCGUGUAGUCUGAGCUACAUAGAAUAGA
rnacentral:lncRNA from 1 species